rnacentral:miRNA from 1 species
UCCACCCAUACCAUACAGACCC